rnacentral:lncRNA from 1 species
CUUUUUAGUUCUUUGCUUUCUGCCUUAAGGGUGGUAUCAUCUGCAUAUCUGAGGUUAUUGAUAUUUCUCCGGCAAUCUUGAUUCCAGCUUGUGUUUCAUCCAGCCCAGCAUUUCUCAUGCUGUUCUUUGCAUAUAAGUUAAAUAAGCAGGGUGACAAUAUACAGCCUUGCCAUACUCUUUUCCCGAUUUGGAACCAGUCUGUUCCAUGUCCAGUUCUAACUGUGCUUCCUGACCUGCAUAGAGAUUUCUCAGGAGGCAGAUCAAGUGGUCUGGUAUUCCCAUCUCUCUAAGAAUUUUCCACAGUUUGUUGUGAUCCACACAGUCAAAGGCUUUGGCAUAGUCAAUAAAGCAGAAGUAGAUGUUUUUCUGGGACUCUCUUGCUUUUUCAAUGAUCCAAAGGAUGUUGGAGUUACACUAUAAAUUUUCAUGUAUGGAAUUAUGGAAGACUCACAACAGUUCUGUGAGACACUAUCCCAAUGUCCCCAUCCUGUCAUCUGUCCAAAGGGGAUCCUGCUAUUAAAAAGCUGGCCCUCCUCACGGAACUCUCCCAGAAUCGCAGUGGCGAGAGCUGCAGGCCAUUUGAAGGGUCCGAGUGGCCCCGCCUUCAACAGCAUCUUCCAGAAGGAGAACUUCCAGCUGCAGCUCAUUCCUCCCCUGGUGACUGAGGACUGAAGUCUUUCCUGGGCCUGGAGCCCAGAGACAGGCCAGCAAGGGGAGGGGUCACCUGAGGACCCCAUGCCCCCCAGCCGCAGAGACUCUGGCCCUCCCGAUGUUGUUGCAGCCUGGGCACCAGACUAAUUUUGUUUUGCUUAUUAAGCAAAUGAACACGAUGUACCUGCAUCCAGUUAUUUAAGGAUAUGCAUUUUUGUCUGUUGGACUCUCCCCCAAGAGUGGAGAACAGGCAGAGUUCUGUGGGCAGCAGCCCAGUCCAUGGCCACCCCAGCCCCUCUUCUCCUGCCGGUGGUUAGUAUGGGGUGCCGUUGCCUCCUGCUGCCAGAGGGACAGUGGUCGCUGGGCUGCAGCAUCAAGGAAGCCUGCGCUGGAGGGAGCAAAAGGCUGUGGGGGCCGGGGCACCUCCCUUGCCUCAUGUUUGUGUUGAAGCCCGUUUGAGUGUUAGCAUCUGCCGUCUCUAACAAUAAAUGCCUCCCGUUCAUGCCCUCCCCCA